rnacentral:lncRNA from 1 species
AUGGCUAAUCUGAAGAGUUCCAGUGGACGGAGACUCUGGUGAAAAGUCUCACUGGAUAGGGACUCUGAUGAAGAGUCCCACUGGACUAAGACUCUAUCAUUAAUGAAGGAUUAAUUAGUGAUUAGAUCACUAAUUAGCUUAAUUUUAUUGAGCAUUAAAGUUUAGAUUAAAUCUGAUUGAAUUGGAUUCAAUCAGAUCAUGUCUGAUUAGGUUAUGAGAUGACCUGAUCGG